CAGCCGCCGCGGGAAUACGUAGGUGGCAAGCGUUGUCCGGAAUUAUUGGGCGUAAAGGGCUCGCAGGCGGUUUCUUAAGUCUGAUGUGAAAGCCCCCGGCUCAACCGGGGAGGGUCAUUGGAAACUGGGAAACUUGAGUGCAGAAGAGGAGAGUGGAAUUCCACGUGUAGCGGUGAAAUGCGUAGAGAUGUGGAGGAACACCAGUGGCGAAGGCGGCUCACUGGUCCAUUACUGACGCUGAGGUGCGAAAGCGUGGGGAGCAAACGGGAUUAGAUACCCGCGUAGUCCCUGUCUCUUAUAA
rnacentral:rRNA from 1 species